rnacentral:rRNA from 1 species
CAGCCGCCGCGGGAAUACGUAGGUGGCGAGCGUUGUCCGGAUUUAUUGGGCGUAAAGGGAGUGUAGGCGGUCUUUUAAGUCUGAUGUGAAAGCCCACGGCUCAACCGUGGAGGGUCAUCGGAAACUGGGAGACUUGAGUGCAGAAGAGGAGAGCGGAAUUCCAUGUGUAGCGGUGAAAUGCGUAGAUAUAUGGAGGAACACCAGUGGCGAAGACGGCUCUCUGGUCUGUAACUGACGCUGAGGCUCGAAAGCGUGGGGAGCAAACAGGAUUAGAUACCCGUGUAGUCCCUGUCUCUUAUAC